rnacentral:rRNA from 1 species
ACGCACGCUGGCGGCGUGCUUCACCCCUGCCAGUCGAACGGAAAGGCCCCUUUGGGGGUACUCGAGUGGCGAACGGGUGAGUAACACGUGAGUAACCUGCCCUUGACUUCGGGAUAACUUCAGGAAACUGGGGCUAAUACCGGAUAGGAAUCCUUGCUGCAUGGUGGGGGUUGGAAAGCUUCGGCGGUUUUGGAUGGACUCGCGGCUUAUCAGCUUGUUGGUGGGGUAGUGGCUUACCAAGGCUUUGACGGGUAGCCGGCCUGAGAGGGCGACCGGCCACAUUGGGACUGAGAUACGGCCCAGACUCCUACGGGAGGCAGCAGUGGGGAAUAUUGCACAAUGGGCGGAAGCCUGAUGCAGCAACGCCGCGUGCGGGAUGACGGCCUUCGGGUUGUAAACCGCUUUCAGCAGGGGCGAAGCUUGUGGUGACGGUACCUGCAGAAGAAGCACCGGCUAACUACGUG